rnacentral:rRNA from 1 species
CCUACGGGUGGCUGCAGUGAGGAAUAUUGGUCAAUGGACGAGAGUCUGAACCAGCCAAGUAGCGUGAAGGAUGACUGCCCUAUGGGUUGUAAACUUCUUUUAUAUGGGAAUAAAAUGUUCCACGUGUGGGAUUUUGUAUGUACCAUAUGAAUAAGGAUCGGCUAACUCCGUGCCAGCAGCCGCGGUAAUACGUAGGUGGCAAGCGUUGUCCGGAUUUACUGGGUGUAAAGGGCGUGCAGCCGGAGAGACAAGUCAGAUGUGAAAUCCACGGGCUCAACCCGUGAACUGCAUUUGAAACUGUUUCCCUUGAGUGUCGGAGAGGUAAUCGGAAUUCCUUGUGUAGCGGUGAAAUGCGUAGAUAUCGAGAGGAACACUCGUGGCGAAGGCGGGUUCCUGGACAUUAACUGACGCUGAGGCACGAAGGCCAGGGGAGCGAAAGGGAUUAGAUACCCUAGUAGUC